UACGUAGGCAGCGAGCGUUGUUCGGAAUUACUGGGCGUAAAGAGUGUGUAGGCGGUGUUCCCAGUCUGUUGUGAAAUCUCCCGGCUUAACCUGGGAGGUGCAGCGGAAACUAGAAUGCUAGAGGGUGGAGAGGUAAGCGGAAUUCCUGGUGUAGCGGUGAAAUGCGUAGAUAUCAGGAGGAACACCUGUGGUGUAGACAG
rnacentral:rRNA from 1 species